rnacentral:rRNA from 1 species
CCUACGGGGGGCUGCAGUGGGGAAUAUUGCACAAUGGGCGCAAGCCUGAUGCAGCCAUGCCGCGUGUGUGAAGAAGGCCUUCGGGUUGUAAAGCACUUUCAGCGGGGAGGAAGGCGGUGAGGUUAAUAACCUCAUCGAUUGACGUUACCCGCAGAAGAAGCACCGGCUAACUCCGUGCCAGCAGCCGCGGUAAUACGGAGGGUGCAAGCGUUAAUCGGAAUUACUGGGUGUAAAGCGCACGCAGGCGGUCUGUCAAGUCGGAUGUGAAAUCCCCGGGCUCAACCUGGGAACUGCAUUCGAAACUGGCAGGCUAGAGUCGUGUAGAGGGGGGUAGAAUUCCAGGUGUAGCGGUGAAAGGCGUAGAGAUCUGGAGGAAUACCGGUGGCGAAGGCGGCCCCCUGGACAAAGACUGACGCUCAGGUGCGAAAGCGUGGGGAGCAAACAGGAUUAGAUACCCGAGUAGUC